GUACCGGCGGCGGGGUGCGCAGCGGUGGCUGCCAGCCGUCGGCGGGGGUCCAGCGCCGUACGACGCGGGCCGGUGCGCC
rnacentral:tRNA from 1 species